rnacentral:rRNA from 1 species
GAUCCUGCCAGUAGUCAUACGCUCGUCUCAAAGAUUAAGCCAUGCAUGUGUAAGUAUAAAUAAUUCUACUUUGAAACUGCGAAUGGCUCAUUAUAUCAGUUAUAGUUUAUUAGAAAUAAUUUACUACUUGGAUAACCGUAGUAAUUCUAGGGCUAAUACAUGAGUAAAUCCUCGACUUUGAAGAGGUGUGUUUAUUAGUAUGAAAACCAUAUGCUUUUGCAUAAUAGUGAGUAAUAAUAACCUUUCAUAUCGUAUGUUGUAAUAACGAUAGUUCUUUCAAGUUUCUGCCCUAUCAGCUUUCGAUGGUAGUGCAUUGGACUACCAUGGCAGUAACGGGUAACGAAGAAUUUGGGUUCGAUUUCGGAGAGGGAGCCUGAGAGAUGGCUACCACAUCCAAGGAAGGCAGCAGGCGCGUAAAUUACCCAAUCCUGACAUAGGGAGGUAGUGACAAUAAAUCACAAUGCGGGACUUUAGUUUUGCAAUUGGAUUGAGAACAAUGUAAAAGAGUUAUCGAUAAACAAUUGGAGGGCAAGUCUGGUGCCAGCAGCCGCGGUAAUUCCAGCUCCAAUAGCGUAUAUUAACGUUGUUGCAGU